GUACAUAUAUAUAACUUUGGCUGUACGUAUACUAAAACUGGAAUAAUAUGGAGAAGAUUAGCAUGACCCCCAUACAGGGAUGCAAAUUUGUGAAGUGUUACUGUUACCC